GACAGAGGAUGCAAGCGUUAUCCGGAAUCACUGGGCGUAAAGCGUCUGUAGGUUGUUUAAAAAGUCUGCAGUUAAAGGUUGAAGCUUAACUUCAAAAAUGCCGUAGAAACUUUUAAACUAGAGGAUGGUAGGGGUAGAGGAAUUUCCAGUGGAGCGGUGGAAAUGUGUAGAUAUUGGAAAGACCACCGAUGGCGAAGGCACUCUACUGGGCCAUGACUGACACUGAGAGACGAAAGCUAGGGGAGCAAAUGGG
rnacentral:rRNA from 1 species